rnacentral:piRNA from 1 species
AACUGAGGACCUCUGGAAGAGCAG